rnacentral:rRNA from 1 species
AGAGUUUGAUCAUGGCUCAGAUUGAACGCUGGCGGCAGGCCUAACACAUGCAAGUCGAACGGUAACAGGAAGCAGCUUGCUGCUUUGCUGACGAGUGGCGGACGGGUGAGUAAUGUCUGGGAAACUGCCUGAUGGAGGGGGAUAACUACUGGAAACGGUGGCUAAUACCGCAUAACGUCGCAAGACCAAAGAGGGGGACCUUCGGGCCUCUUGCCAUCAGAUGUGCCCAGAUGGGAUUAGCUUGUUGGUGAGGUAACGGCUCACCAAGGCGACGAUCCCUAGCUGGUCUGAGAGGAUGACCAGCCACACUGGAACUGAGACACGGUCCAGACUCCUACGGGAGGCAGCAGUGGGGAAUAUUGCACAAUGGGCGCAAGCCUGAUGCAGCCAUGCCGCGUGUAUGAAGAAGGCCUUCGGGUUGUAAAGUACUUUCAGCGGGGAGGAAGGUGUUGUGGUUAAUAACCGCAGCAAUUGACGUUACCCGCAGAAGAAGCACCGGCUAACUCCGUGCCAGCAGCCGCGGUAAUACGGAGGGUGCAAGCGUUAAUCGGAAUUACUGGGCGUAAAGCGCACGCAGGCGGUCUGUCAAGUCGGAUGUGAAAUCCCCGGGCUCAACCUGGGAACUGCAUUCGAAACUGGCAGGCUUGAGUCUUGUAGAGGGGGGUAGAAUUCCAGGUGUAGCGGUGAAAUGCGUAGAGAUCUGGAGGAAUACCGGUGGCGAAGGCGGCCCCCUGGACAAAGACUGACGCUCAGGUGCGAAAGCGUGGGGGAGCAAACAGGAUUAGAUACCCUGGUAGUCCACGCCGUAAACGAUGUCUACUUGGAGGUUGUGCCCUUGAGGCGUGGCUUCCGGAGCUAACGCGUUAAGUAGACCGCCUGGGGAGUACGGCCGCAAGGUUAAAACUCAAAUGAAUUGACGGGGGCCCGCACAAGCGGUGGAGCAUGUGGUUUAAUUCGAUGCAACGCGAAGAACCUUACCUGGUCUUGACAUCCACGGAAGAAUUCAGAGAUGGAUUUGUGCCUUCGGGAACCGUGAGACAGGUGCUGCAUGGCUGUCGUCAGCUCGUGUUGUGAAAUGUUGGGUUAAGUCCCGCAACGAGCGCAACCCUUAUCCUUUGUUGCCAGCGGUCCGGCCGGGAACUCAAAGGAGACUGCCAGUGAUAAACUGGAGGAAGGUGGGGAUGACGUCAAGUCAUCAUGGCCCUUACGACCAGGGCUACACACGUGCUACAAUGGCGCAUACAAAGAGAAGCGACCUCGCGAGAGCAAGCGGACCUCAUAAAGUGCGUCGUAGUCCGGAUUGGAGUCUGCAACUCGACUCCAUGAAGUCGGAAUCGCUAGUAAUCGUGGAUCAGAAUGCCACGGUGAAUACGUUCCCGGGCCUUGUACACACCGCCCGUCACACCAUGGGAGUGGGUUGCAAAAGAAGUAGGUAGCUUAACCUUCGGGAGGGCGCUUACCACUUUGUGAUUCAUGACUGGGGUGAAGUCGUAACAAGGUAACCGUAGGGGAACCUGCGGUUGGAUCACCU